UACGUAGGGUGCGAGCGUUAAUCGGAAUUACUGGGCGUAAAGCGUGCGCAGGCGGUUCGUUGAGUCAGAUGUGAAAGCCCCGGGCUCAACCUGGGAACUGCAUUUGAAACUGGCGGGCUUGAGUGUGGCAGAGGGGGGUGGAAUUCCGCGUGUAGCAGUGAAAUGCGUAGAGAUGCGGAGGAACACCGAUGGCGAAGGCAGCCCCCUGGGCCAACACUGACGCUCAGGCACGAAAGCGUGGGGAGCAAACAGG
rnacentral:rRNA from 1 species